rnacentral:lncRNA from 1 species
AUGCCGCGGGACAUUGCCGGGGUUUGCGCGGGCUCAUCCGCCGCGGAGCAGGGACGUGGGGCAUCGUGCCGGCAGGGCGGCCGGAUCGCGCCCCCCCCGGCGCGGGAGCGCAGGGGGCUCCGUUGGGAGAAGCCGCAGGGACUGGUGCUAAGGCGCGGGGGAGGCUCAGAGAGGGUCUCCGGCCCCCCCGCCGCCGUCUCUUCCCGUAACUGUGAAUGGUGCCGGCCCGGCGCCCGCGCUCCCGCCGAGCCGCCGGCCGCUCGCUGCGGGGUGCUGGCUAAUUCGCAGCAAGCCUCGCCGGCGGCUUGCGGGGGCGCUCGGAGAGGUGCUAGGACCCAAGGAGGCGGCGGCAGGCGGGGGCGGCCCCGGGGCGCCCCCCGUCUCGCCGUCGCGCUGGUGCUAAGAGGGGUUGAAGGCCCCGUUAAACUGUGCGUGAAGCCCCGAGGCGCGGGUGCUGGGGCCGGCGCGGGGCGAGCUGGCGCCCCGCGGGCGUUUUUCUCAAGGGGCGUUUUGGCCGCGGGGCGGCUUCGGGCCCGGCCGGGCACCGGCUGGCUGAGCAUCACCUUCUGGCAAAGGAGGGAGGCAGGAUGUGGCCCUUGCGCCUCCCGGCCCCAGGCAGCUCUGAGCCCCCUUCCGCGGGCUCCGGUUUGGCUCCGCGUCUGGGUCCCGCGUGGUCGCACAGCGCCGGGUGUAGGUCUUGCACGGCGCUGCAGUGCUGGGUGCGAGUCUUGCACGGCCCUGCAGUGCUGGGAGCAAGUGUUGCACAGCCCUGCAGUGCUAGGUGCAGGUCUUGCAUGGCCCUGCAGUGCUGGAUGCGAGUGUUGCACGGUGCUGCAGUGCUGGGUGCGGGUCUUGCACAGCCCUGCAGUGCUGGGUGCGAGUCUUGCACGGUGCUGCAGUGCUGGGUGCGGGUCUUGCACGGCCCUGCAGUGCUGGGUGCGAGUCUUGCACAGCCCUGCAGUGCUAAGUGCAAGUCUCAUGUGGCACUGCAGUGCUGGAUGCCAGCUUCAUGUGGCACUGCAGCACCAGGUGCAAGUCUCAUGUGGCCCUGCAGCACUGGGUGCAAGCCCCACACUGCCCUGCAGCACCGGCUGCCAGUCUUGCAUGGCCCUGCAGUGCCGCGUGCGAGUCUUGCAUGGCCCUGCAGUGCCGGGUGCAAGACUUGCAUGUACCCACAGUGCCGGGUGCCAGUGUUGCAUGGCCCUGCAGUGCCAGAUGCAAGACUUGCAUGGCCCCGCAGUGCCAGAUGCAAGACUUGCAUGGCCCUGCAGUGCCGGGUGCCAGUGUUGCAUGGCCCUGCAGUGCCGGGUGCAAGACUUGCAUGGCCCUGCAGUGCUGGGUGCCAGUGUUGCAUGGCCCUGCAGUGCCGGGUGCAAGACUUGCAUGGCCCUGCAGUGCCGGGUGCCAGUGUUGCAUGGCCCCGCAGUGCCAGAUGCAAGACUUGCA